rnacentral:rRNA from 1 species
GACGAACGCUGGCGGCGUGCUUAACACAUGCAAGUCGAGCGGUAAGGCCCUUUCGGGGUACGACGAGCGGCGAACGGGUGAGUAACACGUGGGUGACCUGCCCUCAGCUCUGGGAUAAGCCUGGGAAACCGGGGUCUAAUACUGGAUAUGACUCCAUGACGCAUGUUGUGGGGUGGAAAGCCUUGUGCGGCUGAGGAUGGGCCCGCGGCCUAUCAGCUUGUUGGU